rnacentral:tRNA from 1 species
GGGGGCGUGGUGUAGUGGUUAACACGCUGGCCUGUCAAGCCAGAGAUCGCGGGUUCGAAACCCGUCGCUCCCG